UGUCCUCUACGGACGCAGCAGUAGGGAAUCUUCCACAAUGGGCGAAAGCCUGAUGGAGCAACGCCGCGUGGGUGAAGAAGGUCUUCGGAUCGUAAAACCCUGUUGUUAGAGAAGAAAGUGCGUGAGAGUAACUGUUCACGUUUCGACGGUAUCUAACCAGAAAGCCACGGCUAACUACGUGCCAGCAGCCGCGGUAAUACGUAGGUGGCAAGCGUUAUCCGGAUUUAUUGGGCGUAAAGGGAACGCAGGCGGUCUUUUAAGUCUGAUGUGAAAGCCUUCGGCGUAACCGGAGGAGUGCAUUGGAA
rnacentral:rRNA from 1 species